UAUGUCCCAGAGAUUCUGGUAUGUUGUG
rnacentral:piRNA from 1 species